rnacentral:rRNA from 1 species
AUACGGAGGGUGCGAGCGUUAAUCGGAAUUACUGGGCGUAAAGGGUGCGUAGGCGGCUUGAUAAGUCGGAUGUGAAAGCCCCGGGCUUAACCUGGGAAUUGCAUUCGAUACUGUCAGGCUAGAGUAUGUCAGAGGUUGGCGGAAUUCCUGGUGUAGCGGUGAAAUGCGUAGAUAUCAGGAGGAACACCAGUGGCGAAGGCGGCUAACUGGGACAAUACUGACGCUGAGGCGCGAAAGCGUGGGGAGCAAACAGGAUUAGAUACCCUAGUAGUCC